rnacentral:rRNA from 1 species
UAACGGCGAGUGGAAGCGGCAACAGCUCAAAUUUGAAAUCUGGCUCUUUCGGGGUCCGAGAUUGUAAUUUGUAGAGAGUGUUUCGGGGGAGACCGCGGUCUAAGUCCAUUGGAACAUGGCGUCAUAGAGGGUGAGAAUCCCGUAUGUGACCGUGGCUCGAACCCAUGUGAAGCCUCUUCGACRAGUCGAGUUGUUUGGGAAUGCAGCUCAAAAUGGGUGGUAAAUUUCAUCUAAAGCUAAAUACUGGCUGGAGACCGAUAGCGCACAAGUAGAGUGAUCGAAAGAUGAAAAGCACUUUGGAAAGAGAGUUAAACAGUACGUGAAAUUGUUGAAAGGGAAGCGCUUGCAACCAGACCUGCCCGUAGRCGAUCAACCGCUGUUCUCAGCGGUGCACUCGUGCUGCGAUCAGGCCAGYAUCGGUUUCGGCGGUCGGAUAAAGGCCUUGGGAAUGUAGCUUCCUUUCGRGGGAGUGUUAUAGCCCUCGGUGCAAUGCGGCCAGYCGGGACCGAGGAYCGCGCUUMGGCUAGGAUGCUGGCGUAAUGGUUGCAAGCGACCCGUCUUGAAACACGGACCAAGGAGUCUAACAUCUAUGCGAGUGUUUGGGUGUCAAACCCMUACGCGGAAUGAAAGUGAACGGAGGUGAGAACCCUUAAGGGCGCAUCAUCGACCGAUCCAGAUGUCUUCGGAUGGAUUUGAGUAUGAGCAUAGCUGUUGGGACCCGAAAGAUGGUGAACUAUGCCWGAAUAGGGUGAAGCCAGAGGAAACUCUGGUGGAGGCUCGCAGCGGUUCUGACGUGCAAAUCGAUCGUCAAAUUU